rfam:Capsicum annuum cultivar Zunla-1 chromosome 2, whole genome shotgun sequence
UACCUGGUUGAUUAUUCCAAUAGUCAUAUGUUUGUCUCAAAGAUUAAGACAUGUAUGUGUAAGUAUGAACAAAUUCAAACUGUGAAACUGUGAAAGGCUCAUUAAAUCGGUUAUAGUUUGUUUGAUGGUAUUUACUACUCGGAUAACCGUAGUAAUUCUAGAGCUAAUACGUUCAACAAACCUCGACUUCUGAAAGGGAUGCAUUUAUUAGAUAAAAGGUUUACUCAGGCUCUACCCAUUACUGCGAUGAUUUAUGAUAACUCGAUGGAUUGUACAUCCAUCGUGCCGGCGACACAACAUUCAAAUCUCUGCCCUAUCAACUUUCGAUGGUAGGAUAUUAGCCUACUAUGGUGGUGACGAGUGACAGAGAAUUAGGGUUCAAUUUCGACGAAGGAACCAGAGAAACAGCUACCACAUCAAAGGAAGGCAGAAGGCGCACAAAUUAUCCAAUCCUGACACAGGGAGGUAGUGAUAAUAAAUAACAAUACUGGGCUCAAUGAGUUUUAUAAUUGGAAUGAGUACAAUCUAAAUCCCUAAACGAGUAUCCAUUGGAGGGCAAGUCUGGUGCCAGAACCCACGGUAAUUCCAGCUCCAAUAGUGUAUAUUUAAGUUAUUACAGUUAAAAAGUUCAUAGUUGGACUUUGGGAUGGGCCGGUCGGUCCGCCUAUGGUUUGCACCAGUCGUCUCAUCCCUUCUGUCCGUGAUGCACUCCUGUCCUUAAAUGGUUGGGUCGUGCCUCCGGCGUUGUUACUUUGAAGAAAUUAUAGUUCUCAAAGCAAGCCUACGCUCUGUAUACAUUAGCAUGGGAUAACAACAUUAUAGGAUUUUGGUCCUAUUAUGUUGGCAUUCGGGAUCGGAGUAAUGAUUAAAAUGAAUAAUCGGGGGCAUUUAUAUUUCAUAGUCAGAGGUGAAUUUAUUUGUUUAUGAAACAUAAACAAUUGCGAAAGCAUUUGCCAAGGAUGUUUUCAUUAAUCAAGAAUGAAAAUUAGGGGCUCGAAGAUGAUCAGAUACCAUCUUAGUCUCAACCAUAAAUGAUGUCGACCAGGGAUCAGCGGAUGUUGCUUUUAGGAAUCCGCCGGCACCUUAUGAGGAAUCAAAGUUUUUGGGUUCCAGAGGGAGUAUGAUCACAAGGCUAAAACAUAAGGAAAUUGAUAGAAGGGCACCUAUAGGAGUAGAGCCUGCAGCUUAAUUUGACUUAACACGGGAAACAUACCAGGUCUAGACAUAGUAAGGACUGACAAACUGAGAGCUGUUUCUUGAUUCUAUGGGUGGUGGUGCAUAGCCGUUCUUAGUUGGUGGAGCAAUUUGUUUGGUUAAUUUCAUUAACGAACAAGACCUCAGCCUGUUAACUAGCUAUGCGGAGUUAUGCCUUCGCGGCCAGCUUCUUAGAGGGACUACAGUCUUUUAGGCCGUGGAAGUUUGAGGCAAUAACAGGUCUAUGAUGCCUUUAGAUAUUCUGGGCCGUACGCGUGAUAAAUUGAUGUAUUCAAUGAGUUUAUAUCCUUGGCUAACAAGACCAUGUAAUCUUUGAAAUUUUAUCUUGAUGGGGAUAGAUCAUUGCAUUUGUUGGUCUUCAACACGGAAUUCCUAGUAAGCGCGACUCAUCAGCUCGCGUUAACUAUAUCCCUUCCCUAUGCACACACCGCCUGUCACUCCUACCGAGUAAAUGAUAUGAUGAAAUGUUUGGAUAAUGGUGACAUGGGUGGUUCGCUGCCCAUGAUGUCGCUAGUAGUCCAUUAAACCUUAUCAUUUAGAAAAAAAGAAAAGUCGUAAUAAGGUUUCCGUACAUGAACCUGCGGAAGGAUCAUUG